AUUGAACGCUGGCGGCAGGCCUAACACAUGCAAGUCGAGCGAGCGGCGGACGGGUGAGUAAUGUCUGGGAAAAUGCCUGAUGGAGGGGGAUAAAUACUGGAAACGGUAGCUAAUACCGCAUACCAUCAGAUGUGCCCAGGUGGGAUUAGCUAGAAGGUGGGGUAACGGCUCACCUAGGCGACGAUCCCUAGCUGGUCUGAGAGGAUGACCGGCCACACUGGAACUGAGACACGGUCCAGACUCCUACGGGAGGCAGCAGUGGGGAAUAUUGCACAAUGGGCGCAAGCCUGAUGCAGCCAUGCCGCGUGUGUGAAGAAGGCCUUCGGGUUGUAAAUCACUUUCAGCGGGGAGGCGUUACCCGCAGAAGAAGCACCGGCUAACUCCGUGCCAGCAGCCGCGGUAAUAC
rnacentral:rRNA from 1 species